AUUGAACGCUGGCGGCAUGCCUUACACAUGCAAGUCGAACGGUAACGGGCCUUCGGGUGCCGACGAGUGGCGAACGGGUGAGUAAUACAUCGGAACGUGCCCGAUCGUGGGGGAUAACGAGGCGAAAGCUUUGCUAAUACCGCAUACGAUCUACGGAUGAAAGCAGGGGACCGCAAGGCCUUGCGCGGACGGAGCGGCCGAUGGCAGAUUAGGUAGUUGGUGGGGUAAAAGCUUACCAAGCCGACGAUCUGUAGCUGGUCUGAGAGGAUGAUCAGCCACACUGGGACUGAGACACGGCCCAGACUCCUACGGGAGGCAGCAGUGGGGAAUUUUGGACAAUGGGCGCAAGCCUGAUCCAGCCAUGCCGCGUGCAGGAUGAAGGCCUUCGGGUUGUAAACUGCUUUUGUACGGAACGAAAAGCCUUCUUCUAAUACAGGAGGGUCAUGACGGUACCGUAAGAAUAAGCACCGGCUAACUACGUGCCAGCCGCCGCCGUAA
rnacentral:rRNA from 1 species